rnacentral:rRNA from 1 species
CGGAGGAAAAGAAACCAACAGGGAUUGCCCUAGUAACGGCGAGUGAAGCGGCAACAGCUCAAAUUUGAAAGCUAGCCUUCGGGUUCGCAUUGUAAUUUGUAGAGGAUGAUUUGGGGAAGCCGCCUGUCUAAGUUCCUUGGAACAGGACGUCAUAGAGGGUGAGAAUCCCGUAUGUGACAGGAAAUGGCACCCUAUGUAAAUCUCCUUCGACGAGUCGAGUUGUUUGGGAAUGCAGCUCUAAAUGGGAGGUAAAUUUCUUCUAAAGCUAAAUAUUGGCGAGAGACCGAUAGCGCACAAGUAGAGUGAUCGAAAGAUGAAAAGCACUUUGGAAAGAGAGUUAAAAAGCACGUGAAAUUGUUGAAAGGGAAGCGCUUGCAAUCAGACUUGUUUAAACUGUUCGGCCGGUCUUCUGACCGGUUUACUCAGUUUGGACAGGCCAGCAUCAGUUUCGGCGGCCGGAUAAAGGCUCUGGGAAUGUGGCCUCCACUUCGGUGGAGGUGUUAUAGCCCAGGGUGUAAUACGGCCAGCCGGGACUGAGGUCCGCGCUUCGGCUAGGAUGCUGGCGUAAUGGUUGUAAGCGACCCGUCUUGAAA